rnacentral:rRNA from 1 species
AGAGUGAACGCUGGCGGUAGGCCUAACACAUGCAAGUCGAACGGCAGCACGGUAAGAGCUUGCUCUUAUGGGUGGCGAGUGGCGGACGGGUGAGGAAUACAUCGGAAUCUACCUUUUGGUGGGGGAUAACGUAGGGAAACUUACGCUAAUACCGCAUACGCCCUUCGGGGGAAAGCCGGGGACCAGCAAUGGCCUGGCGCUGAUAGAUGAGCCGAUGUCGGAUUAGCUAGUUGGUGAGGUAAUGGCUCACCAAGGCGACGAUCCGUAGCUGGUCUGAGA